GCCCUAGUAGCUCAACGUC
rnacentral:tRNA from 1 species